UGCUUAUGAUGACUUAAAUGUAUAAGAGUAGUGGACAGAAGUGGUUUCUGAGAAUUUUUUACUCUGAAGCG